GAUGAACGCUGGCGGCGUGCCUAACACAUGCAAGUCGAGCGAGAAGGUUUAUACGGAUACUUCGGUUGAAAGAUAAACUAGAAAGCGGCGGACGGGUGAGUAACGCGUGGGCAACCUGCCCUGUGCAAAGGGAUAGCCACUGGAAACGGUGAUUAAUACCAUAUAAUGCUUAAGUAACACAUGUUAUUUAAGCCAAAGAUUUAUCGGCACAGGAUGGGCCCGCGUCUGAUUAGCUAGUUGGUAAGGUAAUGGCUUACCAAGGCGACGAUCAGUAGCCGACCUGAGAGGGUGAUCGGCCACACUGGAACUGAGACACGGUCCAGACUCCUACGGGAGGCAGCAGUGGGGAAUAUUGCACAAUGGGCGCAAGCCUGAUGCAGCAACGCCGCGUGAGCGAUGAAGGCCUUCGGGUCGUAAAGCUCUGUCCUUGGGGAAGAAUAAAAUGACGGUACCCAAGGAGGAAGCCCCGGCUAACUACGUG
rnacentral:rRNA from 1 species